rnacentral:tRNA from 26 species
GGAGACGUGGCCGAGUGGUCGAAGGCGCUCCCCUGCUAAGGGAGUAGGCGGGAAACCGUCUCGUGGGUUCGAAUCCCAUCGUCUCCGCCA